CGGAAAAGAUAACCGCUGAAAGCAUCUAAGCGGGAAACUUGCCUCAAGAUGAGAUCUCACUGGGAACUUGAUUCCCCUGAAGGGCCGUCGAAGACUACGACGUUGAUAGGCUGGGUGUGUAAGCGUUGUGAGGCGUUGAGCUAACCAGUACUAAUUGCCCGUGAGGCUUGACCAUAUAACACCCAAACA
rnacentral:rRNA from 1 species